GCAGAAUUGUCCUCCGAGAGUGGCAGUCCAUUUUGUUUGACCAUAGAAGGAAUCUUCCUACCCUGCUGAAACAGUGUUCUUUAUCAUAAAUGGUAAAAACAAAUGUGAUCAAUCCUGCUUUCAGACUGUGUUUCAGAGUAUUGUAUUACAUAAGAGAGGAUUUGUGCUGGGUAUAGGCAGGUACCUUUAAGGAAACAGCAUUAAUUAAAAAAUCAAUUUCCAUGACACUUUCUAAGCUUGCACUAUUUAUAGAAAAUAAUUAAAUUAAUUUAUUAUAUUAUUUAAUUUGAUUUAUCUUAAAAAAAAUAUUUUGUACAGAAAAAUAAUUUUAUUGUGAUUUAGGUUUCCUUCCAGUGAAAAUACGGAGGAUGGGUUUGAUUCUGGAAUCUGCUGCCCAUGUGAAUAACACCAGGAAAUGAACAACUAGAAAAUUGGUGUCAAAAUUUGGAGUGAGCCCAUGGUCUUUAAAUUAUUGAUGUUGAAUCCAGUGACUUCAGCAUUAAUGUCUUUGGAUUUAAUUGUUCUGAAGACUGGAACUCACAACAGGAAGAUAAAUUAUUACAGUCUUGGUGCAGAUUUGCCUCCUUCCCUGAGAUGGAAAAUUUACACGAACUAGAAUUACAGGAAAGCUGAGUCUCCUUCAAGAGCAACGCAGAAGGGAAAGAAGUUUGAACUGCAGAAGAUACCUUUGGGUAAACUCAGAAAAGGCAAGAAAUAGGAAAUCUAUCCCUGCUGGGAAAUCAUUUGAAGAAGAAAGUAUUUGAAAGAGUAAUGAUUUUCCCAGCCAAAGUCUGGACCACACAGUCAUCCAAAGAACAAUACAAUAUAUCAAGUUCUGGAGAGCAUAAAUACAGAAUGUCUCACAAAUUAUGUCAGUCAGGAUUUUGACAUUGCAAUGAUUGAAAUACCUAUUUAACAUAUACAAGUCUGUGAGUCAGUCCAAUGAAUGAUAUUAAAAUUAGACAGAUUCUCCAGAAAACUGGUCAAAACCAUUUAUUUUUUCCUAUUAUUCCUCACAUUCAGUGUAAAGUGAGCCCAAAUCUUGGAAAACCUGUCAUAUUUAAGAAAAGUAUUUAAAACUUUCUUAGCUCAUGUAAUUCUGGAGAGACUGAAAAGGGAAAUCUAAAGUUUGAGAUAUUUUACAGGCAUUAGAGAGAGAGAGAUAGGCAAUCACCAGCCAUAUGAAGUUCAGCCAGUGGAAGCGCUGGAUCCUGCACCGACAGACUGGGGAAUGCUGGAGAGCAGUGCCAUGGAAAGGGCAUUAAUUAAUGAUUAAUUAAUUAAUUAAGACCAUUUUACACUCCCCCUUAUUUAAAAUGCAAAAACUUUCUGAUUUCUGAUUGAGUAUGGCUAAGAGACAGGCAUUUUUUUCAUUAUACAGUCAGUGUCUUCCUGCACCCCCAUAUAAUAUGUACAUCCUUUUGCUUAUAUAAUGUAUCUAGAAGAUAUAUAACAUAUUUAGAAGAUAUCUAGAACAUAUCUAGAAGAUAUGUAACAUACAGUAUGUGCAUGUUAAUUUUUCUUCCCCUGAAAAUGAAAUAAAAAAAUCUUUAUGUUUUCA
ensembl:lncRNA